CAACCCUCAAGCACUGCUUGGUGUUGGGGCACUGCCUGUAAAAGGGCAGGCCCUGAAAUUCAGUGGCGAGCUCGCCAGGACCCCGAGCGCAGUAGUUAAACCCUCGCUUUGGAAGGCCCUGGCGGUGCCCUGCCGUUAAACCCCCCAACUCUUGAAAAU
rnacentral:misc_RNA from 1 species